UUUACAGCGUAUACUUUUAUAAGAAAUAAACAAAUUAUUAUUUCAUUACAAUUUACAAAAGGUAAAUCAAAUUUAAUCUCAUAAAUAUUAUAAACUAUGGUAAGCGUAUUUAAAUAAAUUUAAA